CCUACGGGAGGCAGCAGUGAGGAAUAUUGGUCAAUGGGCGAGAGCCUGAACCAGCCAAGUCGCGUGAAGGAUGAAGGUUCUAUGGAUCGUAAACCUCUUUUAUAAGGGAGUAAAGUGUGGGACGUGUCCUAUUUUGUAUGUACCUUAUGAAUAAGGAUCGGCUAACUCCGUGCCAGCAGCCGCGGUAAUACGGAGGAUCCGAGCGUUAUCCGGAUUUAUUGGGGUUAAAGGGUGCGUAGGCGGCUUUUUAAGUCAGCGGUGAAAGUCUGUGGCUCAACCAUAGAAUUGCCGUUGAAACUGGCAGCCUUGAGUAUGUUUGAGGUAGGCGGAAUUCGUGGUGUAGCGGUGAAAUGCUUAGAUAUCACGCAGAACCCCGAUUGCGAAGGCAGCCUGCCAGGCCAUGACUGACGCUGAUGCACGAAAGCGUGGGGAUCAAACAGGAUUAGAUACCCCGGUAGUC
rnacentral:rRNA from 1 species